CCUACGGGGGGCUGCAGUGGGGAAUAUUGGACAAUGGGCGAAAGCCUGAUCCAGCCAUGCCGCGUGUGUGAAGAAGGCCUUCGGGUUGUAAAGCACUUUCAGUGGGGGAGAAAGCCUUGGGGCUAAUACCCUCGAGGAAGGACAUCACCCACAGAAGAAGCACCGGCUAACUCCGUGCCAGCAGCCGCGGUAAUACGGAGGGUGCGAGCGUUAAUCGGAAUUACUGGGCGUAAAGCGCGCGUAGGCGGUCUGAUAAGCCGGUUGUGAAAGCCCCGGGCUCAACCUGGGAACGGCAUCCGGAACUGUCAGGCUAGAGUGCAGGAGAGGAAGGUAGAAUUCCCGGUGUAGCGGUGAAAUGCGUAGAGAUCGGGAGGAAUACCAGUGGCGAAGGCGGCCUUCUGGACUGACACUGACGCUGAGGUGCGAAAGCGUGGGUAGCAAACAGGAUUAGAUACCCUGGUAGUC
rnacentral:rRNA from 1 species